UCCCCGUUACCGGGGCAGUCUGAAUAGAAAAAUUCAACUAUUCAUAAGGGUUGCGCUCGUUGAUGGACUUAACCAAACAUCUCACGACACGAGCUGACGACGGCCAUGCAUCACCUGUCACUUGGUUCCAAAAGGCACUCUCGUCUUUCGACAAAAUUCCAAGGAUGUCAAACCCUGGUAAGGUUCUUCGCUUACCAUCGAAUUAAAGAACAUGCUCCACCGCUUGUGCGGGUCCCCGUCAAUUCCUUUAUGUUUUAGUCUUGCGACCGUACUCCACAGGCGGGAUGCUUAACGCGUUAGCUUCGCUACGGAAGGGGUCGAUACCCCCCACAGCUAGCAUCCAUCGUUUACGGCGUGGACUAC
rnacentral:misc_RNA from 1 species